UGACCGCUGGCGGCAGGCCUAACACAUGCAAGUCGAGCGGAUGAAGGGAGCUUGCUCCUGGAUUCAGCGGCGGACGGGUGAGUAAUGCCUAGGAAUCUGCCUGGUAGUGGGGGAUAACGUCCGGAAACGGGCGCUAAUACCGCAUACGUCCUGAGGGAGAAAGUGGGGGAUCUUCGGACCUCACGCUAUCAGAUGAGCCUAGGUCGGAUUAGCUAGUUGGUGGGGUAAAGGCCUACCAAGGCGACGAUCCGUAACUGGUCUGAGAGGAUGAUCAGUCACACUGGAACUGAGACACGGUCCAGACUCCUACGGGAGGCAGCAGUGGGGAAUAUUGGACAAUGGGCGAAAGCCUGAUCCAGCCAUGCCGCGUGUGUGAAGAAGGUCUUCGGAUUGUAAAGCACUUUAAGUUGGGAGGAAGGGCAGUAAGUUAAUACCUUGCUGUUUUGACGUUACCAGCAGAAUAAGCACCGGCUAACUUCGUG
rnacentral:rRNA from 1 species